rnacentral:rRNA from 1 species
CCUACGGGUGGCAGCAGUAGGGAAUUUUCGGCAAUGGGGGGAACCCUGACCGAGCAACGCCGCGUGAGCGAAGAAGUUAUUCGUAAUGUAAAGUUCUUUUAGCAGGGAAGCAAGAGACAUUUGACGGUACCUGACGAAUAAGCUCCGGCUAACUACGUGCCAGCAGCCGCGGUAAUCCGUAGGGAGCGCGCGGUAUCCGGAAUUAUUGGGCGUAAAGGGUGCGUAGAUGGCAUAGUAAGUCUUUUGUAAAAAUGCUGGGCUCAACCCAGUAGGGCAAAAGAUACUGCAAAGCUAGAGUAUGAGAGAGGCAAGUGGAACUACAGGUGUAGCGGUAAAAUGCGUAAAUAUAUGGAAGAACACCAGUUGCGAAGGCGGCUUGCUGGGUCGAUACUGACAUUGAGGCACGAAAGCGUGGGGAGCAAACAGGAUUAGAUACCCCUGUAGUC